rnacentral:rRNA from 1 species
UACGUAGGGCGCAAGCGUUGUCCGGAAUUAUUGGGCGUAAAGAGCUCGUAGGCGGCUUGUCACGUCGGUUGUGAAAGCCCGGGGCUUAACCCCGGGUCUGCAGUCGAUACGGGCUAGCUAGAGUGUGGUAGGGGAGAUCGGAAUUCCUGGUGUAGCGGUGAAAUGCGCAGAUAUCAGGAGGAACACCGGUGGCGAAGGCGGCGACCUGGGUCGAUACUGACGCUGAGGCGCGAAAGCGUGGGGAGCAAACAGG